UACGUAGGGUGCGAGCGUUGUCCGGAAUUAUUGGGCGUAAAGAGCUUGUAGGCGGUUUGUCGCGUCUGCCGUGAAAAUCCGAGGCUCAACCUCGGACUUGCGGUGGGUACGGGCAGACUAGAGUUCGGUAGGGGAGACUGGAAUUCCUGGUGUAGCGGUGAAAUGCGCAGAUAUCAGGAAGAACACCCGUGGCGAAGGCGGCUCUCUGGGACGGUACUGACGCUGAGACGCGAAAGCGUGGGGAGCGAACAGG
rnacentral:rRNA from 1 species